GUACACGGUACAUGCAAAACAACAACUACUGUGCUUCUGAAAUUGAAGGAUCUAGUAUCUAGGAACUUCCGAAUCUGAACUAACGAUGGCCGAAGGACCUAAUCCAGUUGAUCCAGUUGUUGCUGAUCUCGAGCAAGAGGUGACCUGUGGCAUCUGUCAUGACCGCUACCAGGAGCCAAAGCUGCUCCCUUGUUGUCACUACUACUGCAAGCAAUGCAUCCUCACACUCUCCAGUCGCUACCAACCCAACCAGCCGUUCCCUUGCCCCGACUGUCGUGAGCCCACUCUGUUGCCUGACAACAACCCAGACAGACUGCCCACUGCAUUCUUCAUCAACCGGAUGAAAGCACUCCACUCAAGGAUGGAGAAAGCUCACGGCAAGUUGGAGACCACCUGUGAAGUGUGCUCUGGGGGAAAGGCCACUGCAUUCUGCCGACAGUGUGUCAAUUUUAUCUGUGAAAAAUGUGUAGAAUCUCAUCAACGUAUGAAAGCCGUGUUUGCUACACAUAUCGUCUCCACUCUGGACGAGCUCAAACAGGGCGGAGUGAAAGAACUAACAUUCGAAAACCUACCACCCCCAAAAUGUGAUGAUCACGAAGAACUAAAAAAGAUUUUCUGUUUCGAUUGCAACAAGCUCAUCUGUCGAGACUGUAUCGUUAUUGAACACGCUGGACACAAUUACGAAUUUGUAAAGAAAGCCGCCCCCGCAACUCGCAAAAAGCUGACGAAGCACCUCUCCCCACUCAAGAACCUACUGCCUGAUCUGAGCACCGCUGUGAAUCAAGUGAAAGGAACUAAACAGAAGAUUCAGGCCCAGAAAGAACUGACAGAGAGACAAGUGAAUGCCAAGUUCCAGGAGCUACACGAUAUUCUCGAUCGAUGCAAGGUCCGUGUUUUACGAGAAUCUUCUGCUUUGGCUGAUUCAAAGAUGGAGAAGCUGACGGUUCAAGAGAAGGGUCUGGACCUGUCCCUGGGCACUGCUCAGAGUUUGAUUGACUUUGUAGAGCGUACACUGGAGAAUGCAAGUGAUGAAGAACUGAUUACGAUGCAAGAGCAGGUGGUGAGUCGAAUCGAUGCCAAGGUGGUGAAGCAAGGGAAGGAAGCAGCCAAUCCUGAUCCAGUGGAGAAAGAUGAUUUUGGAAUUGAAGUGUUUGUUUGUGAGAAUCUCAAGAAGUUGUGUGAGAACAAUGUUAUUGUGUAUGACGGAAAGCCGAUUGUGAAAGGAGACGGUAUCAAAACAGCUGAAGUUGACAAAUGUUCAAAACUGAUAUUUUAUUGCGGUUCAAAAAGAGGCAAGCCACAACUUCUACUGAAAACGCUAUCUGAUGACACAUCUCAAGAAUUGCAAGCAGUGCCUGUGAGGGGUGGAGUGUACAGUGUUGAGUACACCCCUAGGGUACGUGGUCGACACCACCUCCUGAUCUCAGUGGACGACCAGCCCAUCCCAGGAAGCCCCUUCUCUGUGUUCAUCAAAAUACCCCCCACCAAGCUAGACAAGCCAGUGAAGGAGAUAAAAGGAAUCAACAUCCCUGUGUAUAUGGCAUUCAACUCAUCAGAAGAACUGAUUGUAACUGACUUUCUUGGUGAUGUUUUGGUGUUUGACAAGAAAGGAAAACAAAUUCGAAGCAUCAGCAAAUCAAAGCAUGGGUUUGUCGGUAUCUCUGGUGUGGCAGUAGACAAGGAGGACAACAUCUAUGUCUGUGAUAGCGGCAAACACUGUGUGUACAAGUUCAACAAAAGAGGAGACCUACUGAAGAGGUUUGGGACGAAGGGAAGUGGUCCAAAGGAACUCAACUGGCCUCGAGGGAUAGCAGUCGCUGGUGAUCAAUUGUUUGUGUGCGAUCGAGAGAAUCACAGAGUCCAAGUGUUGACUACAGAGCUGGAGCCAGUCAAGCAGAUUGGUUCAAAGGGAACUGGUAAUGAGCAUUUUAACUGCCCAGAGGAUGUUGCAGUGGAUAAUGAACGAAUGGUGUAUGUCACUGACUGUCAUAAUCUUCGUGUUCAAGUGCUCACUAUGGAUGGUCGGUUUAUUCGCUCGAUUGGAAAGAAAAGAAGUGGACAAGGAGAUCUGUCUUACCCUUAUGGUGUGUGUGUCAAUGGUUUUGUUUAUGUUGUUGAGGAUGGUAACAAGCGUGUGUCAGUGUUCACUAAAGACGGCCAGUUUGUCACAUCAUUUGGUAAUGGUCAUAUCACUAAUCUUUAUGGAGUAGCUGUGGACAGUGAUGGUUUUGUGUAUGUGCGCAGUGAAGGAUCUGUUGUUAUCUUUUAGUGUAUUAUUAUUUUGUGUUUUGGUUGAGGAACUCUUGGUGUUAUAAUUAUCUUGACUUUUGAUUGAGAAACAGUUAGCUCUACUGACGAUCUUUACUCGCCCACAAAAAAUGCUGCCUAAUUUGGGAAAGAUCGUUUGUGAUUGUUAUGAGGAUCUUUACCAUCUCAUUUUAGCUAAUUUACAAGACAAGGCACACUCUAUAGCUAGCUCUCAGCUCUGUAUCUGAAGUUGCAUCAGUUGCAUGGACCCAUUAUACAACUACAGAGAGAGUAGAGCCACUGCUUGCGAGACUCCACUAUCAAUCAAAUCUCGAUAACCUCACUAAAAGUUACAAUCUCAAUAAACAAGAUGAAGUACCCAAGGCCCACUGAUGGCCGGCCAAGCUCUGAAGAUGUGACAUUUGACUUCUACACGGCCCAGUCCCUAGUUUGUAAGCUCAACAACCAAGUGAUGAUGUCUCAAGCAUUAGCAGCAGAAGACACGUUCAUUGCACAGCAAGCUAGCUAGCUACAUCAAGCUACAUUUGAGGUACAAGAGCAGCCCCUCCCCCCAGAGGAUGAAGCCAGAUAAAUGCAAGUCCCCUGAAAAUAUUACUAUAGAAACUAUUGUAUCACAAAACACCACAUGGCAGCAAAGUGAUGAAGUCAUAGCAACGCAAGACAACUCUCUGCAGUAUUUGGCCGAAUGUAUGAUUGGAAAAUUGUCGUGUGCUUGUGCUGCCGAGACAAGGUUCACAGAGGUCACUAGUAGAGCACAUCCAAUGGACACCACUAUAGACGAACCUUCACCCAAAGAGCCUACAAUGCAUACGCUAUUAUUGUCCGAUACAAGGAGACCAAUUGUCAACGAUGUCAUUGCAAGUACUGCAGGUGAACAGUCCUGACCGUGUCUGGAUACAGCUGGCUGAGUACCCAGAGCAUGACCUGGAGGCGCUAUCAAUUGCCGUGACCACCAGUGACCCCAACACUGUGAGCAGAGGCGAGUUGAUGGUUGGACUGUAUUGUGCUGUGCUUGUGAGUGUUGGAGGCACUCAAGAGAGAGAAGAGGAUGGCUUCUACAGAAGAGCUAGAGUGACAGAGGUCAAUCGACCACACUACAUUGGACAGGCUACACUGGAGCUGAUAGAUUGUGGCUCAACGAUGCACAGUGUGUCACUCCUCUACAAGCUCCCCCACGGACUGAGAGUGGGCGUGGUCCCUCCCCACGGCUAUUGACGGCCUCUACUCAACAUUCAAUCACGGAGAGGAAUGGUUCCCACUGGACAAACAGCUACUAUGGAAACACCUACGACACAAAAUGGUGUUUGCCAAGGUUACCAGGAAACCAUCCGGGCUACAAGUUGGUGUCGUCGAUAUCUACUAUGAUCGUGUUGGCAAGAACAGAGUAACUAACCUGCUCCUCACUAAAGGACUAUACCUCAGCUCCACCUCUCUGCUAGCUGAGACCACACCCACACCUCAAACCACCCCCUCACAAGCAGUAACCACUCCCCCACGAUCAUUACUAUCUCGGCUCAGUUACCUACUAAAGAAAUCAAAACAAUUCAUGACCCUCAAAACAGAAACUAUUUGUGCACUAAAGAGACAUCAUCAAUGUCAGCUGUACUAGCACCGACAAACUUGUUUAAUGGUGUCAAAGUGUCUACUUGUGAGAAAGGAGAUUGUAAGGAAGCUGCCAAUUGCUGGUAUCAAGAUGCCCCUCUGGAGAGAGCCUCGUUAAGCGGGAAGGACUCCUGGUGUAACGAGUCUGAUGAGUGCUGUCAUAGCGACCCACGUCGUCUGAGCAGCAAGUCCCUAGUGUUGACAAGUGAUUAUCAUUUGAGAACUGAAGAUGAUGACUGGACUAGCUAUUAUAGCCUAACUGCAAUUAUUAUCUGUACUGUAUAUAUGACUGUGAAGAAGUGUGGGCGUAUCUCAGAUUACAUAU